UACGUAGGGCGCGAGCGUUGUCCGGAAUUAUUGGGCGUAAAGAGCUCGUAGGCGGUGUGUCGCGUCGGCCGUGAAAACCUGCAGCUUAACUGUGGGCUUGCGGUCGAUACGGGCAUCACUGGAGUUCGGCAGGGGAGACUGGAAUUCCUGGUGUAGCGGUGAAAUGCGUAGAUAUCGCUUGGAACGCCAAAGGUGAAAACAGGUUGCUGGGGUUGUGCCGACGCUGAGACACGAAAGCCAGGGGAGCAAACGGG
rnacentral:rRNA from 1 species